rnacentral:rRNA from 1 species
UACGUAGGGGGCUAGCGUUGUCCGGAAUCAUUGGGCGUAAAGAGCGUGUAGGCGGCCCGGUAAGUCCGCUGUGAAAGUCGGGGGCUCAACCCUCGAAUGCCGGUGGAUACUGUCGGGCUAGAGUGCGGAAGAGGCGAGUGGAAUUCCUGGUGUAGCGGUGAAAUGCGCAGAUAUCAGGAGGAACACCAAUUGCGAAGGCAGCUCGCUGGGACGUAACUGACGCUGAGGAGCGAAAGCCAGGGGAGCAAACGGG